UACGUAGGUGGCAAGCGUUGUCCGGAUUUACUGGGUGUAAAGGGCGUGCAGCCGGGCUGACAAGUCAGAUGUGAAAUCCCGCGGCUCAACCGCGGAACUGCAUUUGAAACUGUCAGUCUUGAGUACCGGAGAGGUCAUCGGAAUUCCUUGUGUAGCGAUGAAAUGCGUAGAUAUAAGGAAGAACACCAGUGGCGAAGGCGGAUGACUGGACGGCAACUGACGGUGAGGCGCGAAAGCGUGGGGAGCAAACAGG
rnacentral:rRNA from 1 species